rnacentral:lncRNA from 1 species
UCUUAGAUAUAGAGAGUAAGUCUUCCUUGUUUUCGAAAGUACAGAGGCUUUCGUAUUUGUAAGUUAUUUUUUAUGAUAAAACAUUCGGUUUGACGUAUGGUUCUAUUAGGCAUAAUCUACGCUAUUGGAAUUAUCUAGAAACCAAAUUUCAUAAUUUUUUGAAAUCAUUUAUCAGGUGAUCAAAAGGUUUUAAAAAUAACUAUUUUAAUAGUCGAUAUGGUACAUUUUUAAGUUCAACGGUAUAAAACAAUCCAAAUUACAUGAAAUUUGAUAGAAAAUUCUAUUUAACAUUAAUAGUAAGAUCAAUACAUCUGAUUUAAAAUUUGAGUCUUUUAUCAUUAUUUUUUAUAAAUUUUUAUUUUCAGUCGUUUAUUUAUAGACUAUUCGUUCUAGACAAGUAAAAUCAUUGAUUUCUAUAUAGUUUCAAUAGCGUAAAUCAUGUCUAACGAACUCAAUCGCCGAAUCGGAUAUCGAAUCAUUGAAAACAAAUUAUAAGUACGAAAGCCUCGGUGUUUUCGAAAGCAUAAGAGUCUACCUCUAGAUACAGAUAUAUUCGAAAAGUAAUUAGUGGGACCUAACU